rnacentral:rRNA from 1 species
GCCCUUACUGCUCAGUAACACGUAGUCAAUCUACUGUAAAAAGGCGGAUAACCUUUGGAAACGAAGGCUAAACCGCCAUAUCUCUGGGCAUCUGGAAGGAGCCCUGAGAAAAAGGGUGGCGAAUUGGAGCAUUACCGUUUUACAAUGAGGCUGCGGCGGAUCAAGCAGAUGGCGGGGUAACGGCCCACCAUACUUAUAACCCGUAGGGGAUGUGGGAGCAUGAGCCCCGAGAAGGACACUGAGACAAGGGUCCUAGCGCUACGGCGUGCAGCAGGCGCGUAAACUCCACAAUGUGCUUACGCACGAUGGGGGAAAUCUGAGUGGUUCACAAUUAUUGUGAAUCUUUUGUUAAGUACAGCAAGCUUAGCGAAUAAGUGCUGGGCAAGACCGGUGGCAGCCGCCACGGUAAUACCGGCAGCACAAGUGGUGUCCACGAUUAUUGGGCUUAAAGCGUUCGUAGUCGGUUUAUGUCGUCUUGCGUGAAAUAUUGGCGCUCAACGUCAAUGCGUGCGUGAGAUACCCAUAAACUAGGGAGCAGGUGAGGUAAGGAGUACUCAUAGGGGAGGGGUUAAAUCCUAUAAUCCUAUUGGGACUAACGGUGGCGAAGGCGCCUUACUAGAAUGUAUCCGACGAUGAGGGACGAAGGCUAGGAGAACAAAUCGGAUUAGAUACCCGAGUAGCCCUAGCAGUAAAUUAUGCAGACUCUGGUGUUACAAAUGUUUUAUACGUUUGUAGUACCGUAGCGAAAGUGUUAAGUCUGCCGCCUGGGGAGUACGAUCGCAAGAUUAAAACUUAAAGGAAUUGGCGGGGGAGCACAAGGGC